CCUACGGGAGGCAGCAGUGAGGACUAUUGGUCAAUGGACGCAAGUCUGAACCAGCCAUGCCGCGUGCAGGAAGACGGCUCUAUGAGUUGUAAACUGCUUUUGUACGAGGGUAAACGCAGAUACGCGUAUCUGUCUGAAAGUAUCUUACACAUAAGGAUCGGCUAACUCCGUGCCAGCAGCCGCGGUAAUACGGAGGAUUCAAGCGUUAUCCGGAUUUAUUUGGUUUAACGGGUGCGUAGGCGGUCGGAUAAGUUAGAGGUGAAAUCCCGAGGCUCAACUUCGGAAUUGCCUCUGAUACUGGUCGGCUAGAGAGUAGUAGCGGUAGGCGGAAUGUAUGGUGUAGCGGUGAAAUGCUUAGAGAUCAUACAGAACACCGAUUGCGAAGGCAGCUUACCAGGCUACUUCUGACGUUGAGGCACGAAAGCGUGGGGAGCAAACAGGAUUAGAUACCCCUGUAGUC
rnacentral:rRNA from 1 species